rnacentral:rRNA from 1 species
GGAUUGAACGCUGGCGGCAGGCCUAACACAUGCAAGUCGAGCGGUAGAGAGGUGCUUGCAUCUCUUGAGAGCGGCGGACGGGUGAGUAAUGCCUAGGAAUCUGCCUAGUGGUGGGGGAUAACGUUCGGAAACGGACGCUAAUACCGCAUACGUCCUACGGGAGAAAGCGGGGGACCUUCGGGCCUCGCGCCAUUAGAUGAGCCUAGGUCGGAUUAGCUAGUUGGUGAGGUAAUGGCUCACCAAGGCGACGAUCCGUAACUGGUCUGAGAGGAUGAUCAGUCACACUGGAACUGAGACACGGUCCAGACUCUACGGAGCAGCAGUGGGAAUAUUGGACAAUGGGCGAAAGCCUAGAUCCAAGCCAUGCCGCGUGUGUGAAGAAGGUCUUCGGAUUGUAAAAGCAACUUUAAGUUAGGAGGAAAGGUUGUAAACCUAAUUACGUGCAAACUUUGAACGUUACCGACAAGAAUAAAGCAACCGGCUAACUUCGUGCCAG